CGGGGCCGGGGAAGCGGACCGGUGGGGCAGAGGGGGCGGGGGCGGGAGCGCGCCGGGCCGUGGGCGCCGCGUCCCAGAGCCCGUCCGUCCGUCCUCUCGCGCGGCUAGUUCGCCCGCCUUGCUGCGCGCGCUUCCCGCGUCUUCCAGCGUCCCCGGCGCCUCCCGCCUUGGGUUGCAGGGCGCAGUCUCCUGCCAGGUCUCACCGCGCCCGAGCGUCCUGCGCCUGCUCCCGGGCCGCGGCGUCUGCCCCGAGCGUCCGUCACCCUUCAACCCUCCCUGUGGAGCGUACCGCCCGCGGUCCCUCGCGUGGCGGGCGGGCGAUCUGCGCGGCGCUGUCCCCGGGCGUCGCGCGUUCGCCCUGCCCGUCCCUGAGCGGGUCCCCUGCGGGCGCCUUGGCCGGACUGUCGGGGCGCCGGCCGCCUGCUGUGCCGGCUCCCAGGCCCGUCGUAGGGAAGCCGCCCCACGCUUCCUGCCUCCUCGGAGGGGCCGGCGCUCCCCCGCAGCCCCCUAGCCCCCCGGACGUCGCUGAGCGCGCCUUCACUGCGGGCGGUGCGGGCGGCCGUGUUCCCGGGGCCGUCUUCCGCCCUGGGUCUCGAGCUGCCGGGAUUGCGUCGUUGAUACCCCUCUCUACCAUCCCCUCCCUCGUGGUCUCUCCUCUUUUUCUGAAAUUCAUUGUCCAGAUGUUGGGCCUUCUUGACUGGUGGUUUUCUUGCCUGCCCAAUUUUCUGUGUCUUUUUGUUCUACUUUCUAAUUUUCUCAAUUUGGCAAAUAUUCUUUCAAAUCAUCUUCAUUCAUUUAUUAUACUUUAAUUUCUAAGUGCUCUUUUUAAUCUCUGCUCUUUUUAUAACAUCGUGUUCUUUUUUCAUGCGGGUAGCUCCUCUUGUCUCUCAAGACAAAUGAUGGGAUUUUAUUUUAAAAGUGCUUCCUAUGUAACCUGUGAAAAUUGAGAGAAGGAAGCAUGGCCGACGUGGUGCGGGAGGCCUGCAGGGGGCGCUUUCGCGUCCACCCUCCGGGCCCAUUGCAGACCCCCCAGGAGAGAAGGGCGACUUACAACCCGCACUAUUUUUGCCUCUUUCCCACCCAGUAGGAGAAGGGAAGAGUUUCUGUUCCCCAGCUCAUCCCCUUAGGGCCUGGCAACAGUUCACGCAAGAGAGGCUCACAACUCAGCCAAUGAGCAGCCAGGACAGAGGUGUUCCCAGCGGUGUGGGCCUUGCUGGCAAUACCUGAAUAAGGGUGAUACUCCAAAACGGUGGUUGGGACCAGGGGUCAGUUGCUGCCUACGGCAUAGGACGAUGGGGCAAGAGCCCAGCUGUUUCUUCCAAAGGUGAUGCUUCACAAGGAGUGGAGGAAUGUGGAUGUUUUCAAUAUGAUAUGUUAACUGGAGGAUGUAUUAUUGAUAUACUUCAGUUGAAUUGUACCCAGUUGGCAAAUGACACCUAUAAAAACUCCACUUACUAUGCGUAAUUAUAAGUUCAUAACUACAACUUUGGUCUGAAUAGUCCAGAUGAUUUUGUCAUCAUUUUUGAUAGAAUAUAGGUUUGACCAAAUCUGGAAUACUUCUUCAGGGUGUCAAUGUCCACCAUCUUGAAACAAAGUAAUGAGUGGGUGUCGAGGGAGGCCAUCAGGAGGUGCCACAGCUGGUUAACCCUUGAGCUGGACCUGUGCCGUCAGAGGUGCCUCACCCCUCCCCGCCCUUGGAACGUGAGUUCUGCCUGCCUUCCCCACACUACAAGCUGCCCCGAGGACACAGCCUUGAGACAGUGAAGUGGUGUCGAGACCCUCUGGAUGGUACAGGACUGAAGCCAGAUGAAGCCUCUGCAUAAUCGUUUGUGCUAGUGUAUGAGUCAAGUGGCGAAGUGGGAAGGAGCGGAAGCUGAUUCCAGCCAGCAUCUCUGGGAGUCUCUGGCAUUACUGUGCACACACAUCUCCUGGGAGCUUCCUGAAAGCGCAGCUUCUCAGACUUUAUUCUCAGAAACUCGCAUCUCAUACACUUGGGGCGCUGACCAGGAGUCUGCUCAUGUGCUGAGCAUCCCGGGGGAUUUUGGUGCAGGCGUUUGAGACCCACUCUUGAGAAGCACUGCUGUGAGAUGACGAUUUUCACAGAAAACCAGGUUGUCGCACUUGCCGCAGUCAUGGAGGCAGUUUGGCUGUGGUGACCAACUUCCACAUAGCUACCUUGGAAACAGAG